rnacentral:rRNA from 1 species
AUAUUAAAGUUGUUGCGGUUAAAAAGCUCGUAGUUGGAUCUGUGUCCCGCGCCGCCGGUUCACCGCCUGUCGGUGUUAAACUGGCGUGAAUGCGGGACGUCCUGUCGGUGGCGGUCCGGGGCUUCGUCAGCUGUAGGGGCUGUCCAGGCAUGUCCUGCGUCGACCCCAAAGGCUGUCGUAUGCUUCCGGCCGCCUUGUCAAUCCCGCCGCGGUGCUCUUCACCGAGUGUCGAGGCGGGCCGGCACGUUUACUUUGAACAAAUUAGAGUGCUUUAAGCAGGCUCUUUCCUGCCUGUAUACUGUGUGCAUGGAAUAAUGGAAUAGGACCUCGGUUCUAUUUUGUUGGUUUUCGGAAUCUGAGGUAAUGAUCAAUGGAGACAGGCGGGGGCAUUCGUAUUGCGACGUUAGAGGUGAAAUUCUUGGAUCGUCGCAAGACGGACCGAAGCGAAAGCAUUUGCCAAGUAUGUUCUCGUCGAUCAAGAACGAAAGUUAGAGGUUCGAAGGCGAUCAGAUACCGCCCUAGUUCUAACCAUAAACUAUGCCUGCCAGCGAUCCGCCGGCGUUCCUCCGAUGACCCGGCGGGCAGCUUCCGGGAAACCAGAGCUUUUGGGUUCCGGGGGAAGUAUGGUUGCAAAGCUGAAACUUAAAGGAAUUGACGGAAGGGCACCACCAGGAGUGGAGCCUGCGGCUUAAUUUGACUCAACACGGGAAAACUCACCAGGCCCGGACACCGGAAGGAUUGACAGAUUGAGAGCUCUUUCUUGAUUCGGUGGGUGGUGGUGCAUGG